AUACGGAGGAUCCGAGCGUUAUCCGGAUUUAUUGGGUUUAAAGGGUGCGCAGGCGGGAGAUUAAGUCGGCGGUGAAAUUUUGCAGCUCAAAUGUAAAAGUGCCUUCGAUACUGGUUUCCUUGAGGGUGGAUGAAGUAGGCGGAAUUUGUGGUGUAGCGGUGAAAUGCUUAGAUAUCACGAGGAACUCCGAUUGCGCAGGCAGCUUACUAAACCACUACUGACGCUCAGGCACGAAGGCGUGGGGAUCAAACAGGAUUAGAUACCCUGGUAGUCCACGCAGUAAACGAUGAUUACUGGAUGUUUGCGAUACAAUGUAAGCGGCUGAGCGAAAGCGUUAAGUAAUCCACCUGGGGAGUACGUUCGCAAGAAUGAAACUCAAAUGAAUUGGCGGGG
rnacentral:rRNA from 1 species